AUUGAACGCUGGCGGCAGGCUUAACACAUGCAAGUCGAGCGGGGGAAGGUAGCUUGCUACCGGACCUAGCGGCGGACGGGUGAGUAAUGCUUAGGAAUCUGCCUAUUAGUGGGGGACAGCAUCUCGAAAGGGAUGCUAAUACCGCAUACGUCCUACGGGAGAAAGCGGGGGAUCUUCGGACCUUGCGCUAAUAGAUGAGCCUAAGUCGGAUUAGCUAGUUGGUGGGGUAAAGGCCUACCAAGGCGACGAUCUGUAGCGGGUCUGAGAGGAUGAUCAGCCACACUGGGACUGAGACACGGCCCAGACUCCUACGGGAGGCAGCAGUGGGGAAUAUUGGACAAUGGGGGGAACCCUGAUCCAGCCAUGCCGCGUGUGUGAAGAAGGCCUUAUGGUUGUAAAGCACUUUAAGCGAGGAGGAGGCUACUCUAGUUAAUACCUAGGGAUAGUGGACGUUACUCGCAGAAUAAGUACCGGCUAACUCUGUGCCAGCCGCCGCAGUAA
rnacentral:rRNA from 1 species